rnacentral:lncRNA from 1 species
AUUAAUGCCUGUUUAGCAAAUUACAGCUUCCCCGGCACCUCCUGCUCCUGGGAGAGAAGGAGCCUUGGAAACGGAAAAUAAAAACAAAUCUCAGCGCUCCGUGUCAAGGCUUGGCCGUGGCCAUGACAGCUGGGCCCGACUCGACAGAGCGUGGAGGCUUAGCAAAGCCAGGAGCUGUGCUGGUGAGAUUUCUGGUCUCAAGAAUCAGAGAGGAGAGGCCCAUCAAGCUGAGAUACCGGGGAGGCACCUGACGGAGCUGUGUCUGCCAAGCCUGCCUUGUGUCCAGGAAUGAAUGACUGAGUGAAUGAACUCGUCCAUCACUAAUGUCUUUGGCCUUGCUCUAAACAGAAGCUUCUCUGCUUAUGAAAUUUUGGUCCACAAACUCUGAUGGAGCACCAG